UACGAAGGGGGCAAGCGUUGUUCGGAAUUACUGGGCGUAAAGGGCGCGUAGGCGGCCAACUAAGUCAUACGUGAAAUCCCUCAGCUUAACUGGGGAACUGCGUGUGAUACUGGAUGGCUUGGAUUUGGGAGAGGGAUGCGGAAUUCCAGGUGUAGCGGUGAAAUGCGUAGAUAUCUGGAGGAACACCGGUGGCGAAGGCGGCAUCCUGGACCAAUAUUGACGCUGAGGAACGAAAGCUAGGGGAGCAAACAGG
rnacentral:rRNA from 1 species